GAUGAACGCUGGCGGCGUGCCUAAUACAUGCAAGUCGAGCGAACGGACGAGAAGCUUGCUUCUCUGCUGUUAGCGGCGGACGGGUGAGUAACACGUGGAUAACCUACCUAUAAGACUGGGAUAACUUCGGGAAACCGGAGCUAAUACCGGAUGAUAUUUUGAACCGCAUGGUUCAAAAGUGAAAGACGGUCUUGCUGUCACUUAUAGAUGGAUCCGCGCUGCAUUAGCUAGUUGGUAAGGUAACGGCUUACCAAGGCAACGAUGCAUAGCCGACCUGAGAGGGUGAUCGGCCACACUGGAACUGAGACACGGUCCAGACUCCUACGGGAGGCAGCAGUAGGGAAUCUUCCGCAAUGGGCGAAAGCCUGACGGAGCAACGCCGAGUGAGUGAUGAAGGUCUUCGGAUCGUAAAACUCUGUUAUUAGGGAAGAACAUAUGUGUAAGUAACUGUGCACAUCUUGACGGUACCUAAUCAGAAAGCCACGGCUAACUACGUG
rnacentral:rRNA from 1 species